rnacentral:rRNA from 2 species
AGUCGAACGCACUCUCGUUUAGAUUGAAGGAGCUUGCUCCUGAUUGAUAAACAUUUGAGUGAGUGGCGGACGGGUGAGUAACACGUGGGUAACCUGCCCUAAAGUGGGGGAUAACAUUUGGAAACAGAUGCUAAUACCGCAUAAAACCUAACACCGCAUGGUGUAGGGUUGAAAGAUGGUUUCGGCUAUCACUUUAGGAUGGACCCGCGGUGCAUUAGUUAGUUGGUGAGGUAAAGGCUCACCAAGACCGUGAUGCAUAGCCGACCUGAGAGGGUAAUCGGCCACACUGGGACUGAGACACGGCCCAGACUCCUACGGGAGGCAGCAGUAGGGAAUCUUCCACAAUGGACGAAAGUCUGAUGGAGCAACGCCGCGUGAGUGAAGAAGGUUUUCGGAUCGUAAAACUCUGUUGUUGGAGAAGAAUGUAUCUGAUAGUAACUGAUCAGGUAGUGACGGUAUCCAACCAGAAAGCCACGGCUAACUACGUGCCAGCAGCCGCGGUAAUACGUAGGUGGCAAGCGUUGUCCGGAUUUAUUGGGCGUAAAGCGAGCGCAGGCGGUUUCUUAAGUCUGAUGUGAAAGCCUUCGGCUCAACCGAAGAAGUGCAUCGGAAACUGGGAAACUUGAGUGCAGAAGAGGACAGUGGAACUCCAUGUGUAGCGGUGAAAUGCGUAGAUAUAUGGAAGAACACCAGUGGCGAAGGCGGCUGUCUGGUCUGUAACUGACGCUGAGGCUCGAAAGCAUGGGUAGCAUACAGGAUUAGAUACCCUGGUAGUCCAUGCCGUAAACGAUGAGUGCUAGGUGUUGGAGGGUUUCCGCCCUUCACUGCCGCAGCUAACGCAUUAAGCACUCCGCCUGGAGAGUACGACCGCAAAAUGAAACUCAAAGGAAUUUGACGAGAGCCC